AGCGGCGGACGGGUGAGUAACACGUGGGUAACCUGCCCAAGAGACUGGGAUAACACCUGGAAACAGAUGCUAAUACCGGAUAACAACACUAGACGCAUGUCUAGAGUUUGAAAGAUGGUUCUGCUAUCACUCUUGGAUGGACCUGCGGUGCAUUAGCUAGUUGGUAAGGUAACGGCUUACCAAGGCAAUGAUGCAUAGCCGAGUUGAGAGACUGAUCGGCCACAUUGGGACUGAGACACGGCCCAAACUCCUACGGGAGGCAGCAGUAGGGAAUCUUCCACAAUGGACGAAAGUCUGAUGGAGCAACGCCGCGUGAGUGAAGAAGGGUUUCGGCUCGUAAAGCUCUGUUGGAAGUGAAGAAAGAUAGAGGUAGUAACUGGCCUUUAUUUGACGGUAAUUACUUAGAAAGUCACGGCUAACUACGUGCCAGCAGCCGCGGUAAUACGUAGGUGGCAAGCGUUGUCCGGAUUUAUUGGGCGUAAAGCGAGUGCAGGCGGUUCAAUAAGUCUGAUGUGAAAGCCUUCGGCUCAACCGGAGAAUUGCAUCAGAAACUGUUGAACUUGAGUGCAGAAGAGGAGAGUGGAACUCCAUGUGUAGCGGUGGAAUGCGUAGAUAUAUGGAAGAACACCAGUGGCGAAGGCGGCUCUCUGGUCUGCAACUGACGCUGAGGCUCGAAAGCAUGGGUAGCGAACAGGAUUAGAUACCCUGGUAGUCCAUGCUGUAAACGAUGAGUGCUAAGUGU
rnacentral:rRNA from 1 species